ACCUGCGCCAGCCUAACACAUGCAAGUCGAACGGUAACAGGAGCAGCUGCUGCUUUGCUGACGAUGGCGGACGGGUGAGUAAUGUCUUGGGAACUGCCUGAUGGAGGGGGAUAACUACUUGGAAACGGUAGCUAAUACCGCAUAACGUCGCAAGACCCAAAGAGGGGGACCUUCGGGCCUCUUGCCAUCGGAUGUGCCCAGAUGGGAUUAGCUAGUAGGUGGGGUAACGGCUCACCUAGGCGACGAUCCCUAGCUGGUCUGAGAGGAUGACCAGCCACACUGGAACUGAGACACGGUCCAGACUCCUACGGGAGGCAGCAGUGGGGAAUAUUGCACAAUGGGCGCAAGCCUGAUGCAGCCAUGCCGCGUGUAUGAAGAAGGCCUUCGGGUUGUAAAGUACUUUUCAGCGGGGAGGAAGGUCGAUAAGGUUAAUAGCCCUGUCGAUUGAUUUACCCGCGA
rnacentral:rRNA from 1 species